GUCCACAUCUGCGAAAACGGCACUGGUGAGGGUGACGUGUGCACGAUGCCCCAGCCCAUCGUCACUCCCUGCAAAGCUCUGAACUUGUGCAUCCCCAGGCCACGCGCUGCGCCCUGUCUUAGCACCUGUCUCAAUCCGUGAUUGUGGUCCCGCAGCCCCGCCACCCACCGCCCUGAACCCGCGACGAGACUACAACUCCCAGAAGCAGCUGCGAGGUGCACAGCCCUACCCCUUCUGCAAAGCUGCGCACACCCCCAACCCGGAGCAAGCUGGCAUCGUAGACCCUCCGCCCUGCGACUCCCUGCACCGCCCUUCAACACACAGAAGCAGAUUCACUCUGCGGAGGGAAGAUUGGCUGUUCCCAAAUCUCUCCCGCUUGGGAAGACAGUGGAGUUAGGGCGACUAGUUUCACCUUGUAAUUGUGACAGCCCACCUUCACGAGCUGCGGAUGUCGCGGUUGUGAUGUCCGAAGUUUGAUUUCUCGCAUACCAACAAAAGGGCCGGUUGACUCUCACUGCCUGCGCAGCAGGGUUGCCAAGUUUUUCAGAUUAAGUACUCCACGACUACACGCUUCUGAAACUGUCAUAGACACAGCCACAGCUCCGUUCAGGGCAGACGCACAAAAGCAGAAUCUCCGUGGGGCAUCUUUCUGGAGCAUCAAUAUUACUGCAGGAUUUGGAUUAAACAAACUUAAUUCGCAAGGAAAAAAAUGGAACAUUUAAGACAACGCUGGAAAGUCAUCUGCCUUCAAUAACCAUCAUC